CAGUCGCCACGGUAAUACGAAGGGGACUAGCGUUGUUCGGAAUUACUGGGCGUAAAGGGCGCGUAGGCGGCCAUUCAAGUGAGAUGUGAAAUCCCCGGGCUCAACCUGGGAACUGCAUCUUAUACUGCGUAGCUGGAGUGCAGUAGAGGGUAGUGGAAUUUCCGGUGUAGCGGUGAAAUGCGUAGAUAUCGGAAGGAACACCAGUGGCGAAGGCGGCUACCUGGACUGACACUGACACUGAGGCGCGAAAGCGUGGGGAGCAAACAGGAUUAGAUACCCCUGUAGUCCCUGUCUCUUAUAC
rnacentral:rRNA from 1 species